CCCUGGGUGGUACAAAUAGUUAAUGCGUUCAGCUGCUAACUGAAAGGGUGGUGGUUCCAGUCUACCCAGGGG
rnacentral:tRNA from 1 species